CCUGGGAGGUGACAGUCCCCAGAGGGGAGGAGAGUCUGGAACCCAGGGAGCUCUGGACCCUCCCAUCCUCCUGGGGCAGCCGGGUCACUGCCUGGGCCGGAGCAGGAGUCCCGCAGCCACCUCCCUGGAGGAGGGGACCCGUGUGGCGUGAGGAGGGAAGAGAGGGACUGGGGCCUGCGUGGUGGGUGAGGGCGCAGGGAGGAGGCUGGAGCUUGCUGCGUGCACAGGACGUGUCCUCUGACCCACAGCUGGAUGGAAGUCAGCAUUUCACACUGGAGCUGUUCUUUCUCUGAGGCUCUGUCCCGGUCAGCGGGUCCCCAUCCGCCAUCUGCCGAGGCCGGAAUUCAAGGGACUUCUUCACCUCUGACCCUCAGCCAGUCACCACAUCUCCCCGGCUUUACUUCUAAGCCUCCCAUCGUCUGUUCUCAACCUUUCCUGUCCAGGCCCUGCCCCUCUCCCCCAGAUACCUUGCCCUGGUUCUGUCCUCCUAAAAUCUCCAACCUUGGACAAGUGACAAUCUUUCUGUACCUCAUUUUUAAAAAUCUAUAAGAAACAGA